rnacentral:misc_RNA from 1 species
AAGUCGUAACAAGGUUUCCGUAGGUGAACCUGCGGAAGGAUCAUUAAUGAAAUAAACCUGGCAGAUUGUAGCUGGCCCUCUAGGGGGCAUGUGCACAUCGGUCAUCUUUAUAUUUCCACCUGUGCACCUUAUGUAGGCCUAAAAGACUAGAAACUACAAGCUUAUCAAUCUGAAGUCAACUUCAGUCGUGAGGGGUUGCAGGCGCUUUCAAGUGUCAGCUCUCCUUGUUGUAUGCUUUCUGUCUUUUCAGGCUCUAUGUUUUUUCAUAUACACCUUAUAAAAAUCUUUGAAUGUGUUUAAAUGGGUCUUUGUUACCUAUAAAAACUAUACAACUUUCAGCAACGGAUCUCUUGGCUCUC